rnacentral:rRNA from 1 species
UACGGAGGGUGCAAACGUUGCUCGGAAUUAUUGGGCGUAAAGCGCACGUAGGCGGUUCGGUAAGUCGGAUGUGAAAGCCCUCGGCUCAACCGAGGAAGUGCAUCCGAAACUGCCGAGCUUGAGUACGGAAGAGGGUCUCGGAAUUCCCGGUGUAGAGGUGAAAUUCGUAGAUAUCGGGAGGAACACCAGUGGCGAAGGCGGAGACCUGGGCCGAUACUGACGCUGAGGUGCGAAAGCCAGGGGAGCAAACGGG